GACGAACGCUGGCGGCGUACUUAACACAUGCAAGUCGAACGGAAAGGCCCUGCUUUUGUGGGGUGCUCGAGUGGCGAACGGGUGAGUAACACGUGAGUAACCUGCCCUUGACUUUGGGAUAACUUCAGGAAACUGGGGCUAAUACCGGAUAGGAGCUCCCGCUGCAUGGUGGGGGUUGGAAAGUUUCGGCGGUUGGGGAUGGACUCGCGGCUUAUCAGCUUGUUGGUGGGGUAGUGGCUUACCAAGGCUUUGACGGGUAGCCGGCCUGAGAGGGUGACCGGCCACAUUGGGACUGAGAUACGGCCCAGAGUCCUACGGGAGGCAGCAGUGGGGAAUAUUGCACAAUGGGCGGAAGCCUGAUGCAGAAACGCCGCGUGCGGGAUGACGGCCUUCGGGUUAUAAACCGCUUUCGCCUGUGACGAAGCGUGAGUGACGGUAAUGGGUAAAGAAGCACCGGCUAACUACGUG
rnacentral:rRNA from 1 species